rnacentral:rRNA from 1 species
AUGCUCUACAAAAUCCACUCCCAUGCCCAAAUCCAAGCCCUGCAGGCCCGCUCCGAUGAGCUGGGCCACUCCAAUGACAUGCAGGUGAAUCUUGUCUCUCUGGAGUCGGUGCGCAUAGCGCGCGAGUCGUAUGCACUCCUCUGCCCGCUGAUCAUGGAGUCGAGGUCCUGGGCAUGCCCGGAGCUGGAUUCCCUCUCGGUCGUGGCAGGCUUGUCGCUGGAAAUCCAAAAGCUCGAGGAUGAUGUGUUACCCCAGCUCAUGGUUCUGGAGGCCAAGCUGGAACGGGGCGCCCUGGAAGCCCUCCUACUCAUGAAGAACUCAGCAAUUAAGCUCUUACAUCUGAGUAAGUGCUUUAAGGAAGCCUUGGGCUUAGUGCUUGACGAGGAGGAUCUGGUCUCAGCCCGAGUCGAAGAGCUGAGCAUAGUGCUAAAGGAUAUUGCUGUUCAUGUACUCGAAUAUAAUUGCAACAUUGCCUGGAUUCAGGUGCGUCUCCCGUGGCUGGUCCAGCGGGUCACCGAUGUGUUGGAGACCCCGGUUCGUUUCCGUGAUUCUAAUGAGUACUGA